UACGAAGGGGGCUAGCGUUGUUCGGAAUUACUGGGCGUAAAGCGCGCGCAGGCGGUCUUCCAAGUCAGUGGUGAAAGCCCGGAGCUCAACUCCGGAACUGCCAUUGAAACUGUAAGACUUGAGGAUGAGAGAGGUGAGUGGAAUUCCCAGUGUAGAGGUGAAAUUCGUAGAUAUUGGGAAGAACACCGGUGGCGAAGGCGGCUCACUGGCUCAUUACUGACGCUCAGGCGCGACAGCGUGGGGAGCGAACAGG
rnacentral:rRNA from 1 species